GUUAUAUUCUAGUCCUUGUGGUGGAGUACCAUGUAUUGCAACCCAGCUUGAGAUGCCUUCACCAUUUGCCCAUUUGUGGAACUUUGAUGUUUUGGGUUUGGCCAUAUUUUAAUUUUUCUGGUGGGAUCUUGGCUCUAGAGAUCUCCUUGUCGGACUAUGUUUUUCUGUUGAUCAAUAUGUGCGCUGUUAGACCAUAUUCAAGAGUUGGAUUGACUUGACUUAGCUGUUUUCAAGUUAUUUAUUUUUUUCUUUUUCAUAUGCAAGCUUCUCCAAAGUUUUGGUCGUCUAAACUAAUUCUCGAUGCAGGGGAAUUCAUUACACUGACCAACUCAUAGC
rnacentral:misc_RNA from 1 species